UUUUUCGAAGGUUGGUCUUGUUCUUGGACCUGAUUUUGUAUGCUGCUUGGUGCUUCCAGUUGGAGAGGAUGCAGUUAUAAAUGGAUAAAAAUAGGGCACAUGGCUUUUAUCCAGCAUUCAACAACCUCCAGGUGGUCCAGGUGUUUGAGCAGGCUGAUGAAUCUGGAGCGAAACGAUGUCAAGAUGUUUUCAUUUUUGCAGCAUCGAGUUAUGCUCUCUUGAUAUCAAACCAAAGUACACAUGUGAAUGGUUUUCACCUAGAACCCAUUUCUUCACCUAGAACCCAUUUCCAUUGAUAUCAAGUAAGUCAAGUUGAAAGAAACGUAGUCUAGAGUAAAAUAGUUAGGCAAGUUGAAAAUAGAAUUUAUUAAAUUCUUAAGUUUUGUUGUGGCCAAUUUCUUGAUUCUCAUAAUCUCCUUUUGUGGAUUAAUGGUUUUGGUUUAGAUAGAAGAGCUCAGAAGGUUUAUUAACUUUUUCCUAAUAAUAUACAUUGGUUUUUCAGAAAUAACAAUCGUGCAAUUAUAUUUUUAUGAUGGUACUCCAUUUUGUAAUUACGAUAUCAGGUGUGAAAUUGAUAACCUUUAAGGGAGCAAGCUUCUUUUGCAAGCACUUUUUGAUUUUGAUGUUUUCCCUGGAUGCAGGUUGUACUCACCAUAGUCUAUCAGCAACUCCCUUUAUCCCCUCUCUUUAUUUCUGUAUUGUUAAAUUAAUCUCGAUUAGGCAUGUUAGCUGUUAUCUAAAUGUUGAUUUUGAUAUUAUGCGGCUUGGGCCAACCUACUGAUGAUGUUUACAUAAAUAUUAAUGCAGUAUUCUGUUCAAGAGUUAUUCUUUCUUUCACAUCUGUUUGUCUCGCCAUCAGGUUCAUUGUCACGUGCUAUAUUAUCAUAGGUCAUCGUCUUCUGCAUGAUUGACUAUAACCAGUUCUGGUCGCUUGCUCAGGUAAGACUAAACAAUCUGCAAGGAGCCUCUUUUUUCACAAAAAAAAAGUUAGCAGAAGUAUGGUUACUACGCAAUUGUGUAUAUUUUUCGAGUUUGAUUAUUAGUGUUAUUCUGAAUGGGCUGCUGAAGACGCGCGGUGCAUCCUUUACCUUUACAUGUUUCUGAUAAUGUGCCAUUUUAACUCCUUUUCUUUACCUACAAAUUCAUCUGAGAGCUGCUCAAGCUUGGAGCUGCUUCUUUCUUAAUCUGGUGAAAAGCUUCAUAGUCAAGGUACAUGCAAAUUUAAGAUCUGUACCAAUCUAGCAAGAAAUUAUCUCUGGUACAUACAGUUCGUUAAAAAUGAGCCUGAAACAUAUAUAUCAACCCUUGUUCUGAAUCAUGUGUUUCAGUUAACAGUAGCAGUGCAUCAGUUUGCUUAAUUGUGUAAGUGUACUACCAUUUUCUAGCCCAUCACAGUGUAGCAAGUGAACUACCAUUUUCUAGCCCAUCACAGUGUAGUUUUUGUCUCUGGCGUUCAACAGAACUAGAAAUGAGAUGGUCUGCUCAAAAUGCUGAUUCGUAGCAUUAGAUAGGAAACAUCAGUGCGUCAUUAAAUUAAUAUUGAUUAUAUGUCUUUAAAGUUUUAAUGACAGUAAGUUCAAUUGCCAAGUCCAGUAAAUUAGACCCACUUAGGUUUGCUAGAGUCCUUAUAAAUAUUCUCUAAUUUAUU